rnacentral:lncRNA from 1 species
UUUACAAACUCAAAUCUCACUCUCAAAACUCUCUCAAACUUCCUAAAUUCGCAGCUAUAAUCAGAAUUUCGGACAGAUUCAGCAAGCUUCACUAAAUUCAUGACCCUCCUUAAGGACUUGGUGUUCCAACUUCCUAAUCAACCAACUCACUCGCGGAUUCAAGUAGAAGACUUGCAAAACCGUUGAUGAUGACGAUGCUAUGAAAAGAAGUAGCGUUGAUGCCUAGAUACACAUAUAGACGUUUAGGUUUAAUAUGUUGUAUCAAUUUUGAUUAUGUUGUUACGUAUUUCCUUUGAACAUGUUGUUAUUGAAUUUCCUUGUAUGUUUGACAAUCUAUCUAUGAAAUGAAAUCGGU